rnacentral:rRNA from 1 species
UACGUAGGGUGCGAGCGUUGUCCGGAAUUAUUGGGCGUAAAGGGCUCGUAGGCGGUCUGUCACGUCAGGAGUGAAAACUCGGGGCUCAACCCCGAGCCUGCUUCUGAUACGGGCAGACUGGAGGUAUGCAGGGGAGAACGGAAUUCCUGGUGUAGCGGUGAAAUGCGCAGAUAUCAGGAGGAACACCGGUGGCGAAGGCGGUUCUCUGGGCAUUACCUGACGCUGAGGAGCGAAAGUGUGGGGAGCGGACAGG